GGCUGGUCAGAUGGUAGUGGGUUAUCAGAACUUAUUAACAUUGCUGUCACUAUACAAUCCCCCCACUGCUAAAUUUUACUAGCUUUUA
ensembl:misc_RNA Y_RNA Y RNA